rnacentral:rRNA from 1 species
GACGUAGGGUGCGAGCGUUGUCCGGAUUUAUUGGGCGUAAAGAGCUCGUAGGCGGUUUGUCGCGUCUGCUGUGAAAUCCCGAGGCUCAACCUCGGGCCUGCAGUGGGUACGGGCAGACUGGAGUGCGGUAGGGGAGAAUGGAAUUCCUGGUGUAGCGGUGGAAUGCGCAGAUAUCAGGAGGAACACCGAUGGCGAAGGCAGUUCUCUGGGCCGUAACUGACGCUGAGGAGCGAAAGCGUGGGGAGCAAACAGG